CUGAAGAUCCACAAAAAAAGUGAAAAUAGCCUUAACUGAUGACAUUCCACCAUUGUGAUUUGUUUCUGCCCCACCCUGACUGAUCAAUGUGCUUUGCAAUCUCUCCCAACCUUAAGAAGGUUCUUUGUAAUCUCCCACAACCUUAAGAAGGUUCUUUGUAAUUCUCCCCACCCAUGUAUACUUUGUGAGAUCCACUCCCUGCCUGCAAAACAUUGCUCCUAACUCCACCGCCUAUCCCAACACCUGUAAGAGCUAGUGAUAAUCCCACCACUCUUUGCUGACUCUCUUUUCGGACUCAGCCCGCCUGCACGCAGGUGAAAUAAAUAGCCUUGUUGCUCACACAAA